UGUCAUUUUAAUUACGGAAUCAUACGGGAUGUUGGGUUAUGGGGUUAAAAACAAACGUAAAAUUUAUUUUAACAAAGUAAUAGAUACUUACGAUACAUGUAAAAAAUACUAGAAAAUUCCAGGCUAAAGAGGUCAACAAACUGCAGGUUAAACGAAAUAGUUUAAUUUUCGAUGUGUGCGUGUUUGAGCCGUCCAAGAUUUAUUUUUAAAUUUUAGUGUGUAAAAAAUUCUAACUAAUAAAAAAUGAAACGAGGUAAUCAAGAGGAAAGUCUUUGCAGGGGUGGUGGAAUGGUAUUUUUGUAUGGUUCGUUUUUUAGCCGCAAACCAGUUAACGACUACGGUGCAUAAAUUGGGAAAACUGACAAAAUGUAUUACCCAUCGGAGUAUAAACUGCAAAAUGUUUAGGUGGUAUUAUUAAAUCGCCAAAAAUCACAUCUUCAUUGAAGACUUUAAAAUGUCACACACUUAAAACAGGAUGUACCACUUCGUAAGAAUGUGCAAAGUUCACAACAAACUUCGCAGAAGUGGUGGUGUAAGAAUUUUCGUAUUAAUGAGUAUCCACAAACAUACCAUAAACAGUUGUGUUCUUUCAAGGUGAGUUUCCGGUAACUCACAUCACUUAAUGAUUGUUGAAGAGGGUGGAAUACAGGGGAGAUGUGUUGUGGAAGUUUGUUUAAAAGAACACCUUUGCAAAUUUUUCAUUUCAAAUAAAAUAGUGUUUCACAGUUGGUUCUUGCACUCGUAUCGAAAUAAUCUGUAGUAAAUAGUUUCCGAAACACACUUUGGAAUUGUAUUGACCAGUAAAGUAAGGUUAGAAUUUAGAAUGCGCGGCAGUUCAUAAUUCAAAAAUUCUACUAUGGGUUUCUUAUGGGAGCUUGAUUUUACAGACAAAAUACACCGCACAGGUAGAAAUCUUAACUAGUUCAUGCUACAAGCGAUAAAGACUAUACAAUUAUCUUCCUGUUACUAAAGGUUUAACUAUAUAAAAAGCUUGUGUUAAAGAAAUAUCGCAAAUUAAAAACAACGUUGUUCAUCAAAGUAACGUACAUCGUUUCUAAUUCCUUGCGCAUGAGUGAAACGGAAAAUCCAGAAACACGCCGAACAGAAAAGGAACGCGAAUAUUUUGCGGGGCUAGUGACGUUUGGAUCGUGAAAAUCCCCAAAAUAUGACAGUUGAUUUCGUAUUUUCAUCACAACAAACAAUCAUAAUCACAAUUUUUGGAUGAUGAUGAUAUAUUAGUUCUGUGAUAUUGAUUCACAUUUGGUUGUAUGUAUCUGUGGACUGACAGAAUGACAGAAAGACAUGUGUUAACAAUAGGGGCAAUUGCCAUUUUUUUUUGUUGGAGAAAAUUCUUUACAGUCAAAUAAUGUAGUGAAAGUCAAUUGGUAUACUGAAUUAAAUGUGCUUGAAGAGUUUAUUCGAGCUAUAAUGCGAGAAGAUUAUGAUAUUCCUUAAGAGAGGCAACAUGUGAAACCCCAAGAGGUGCAUUUGUAUGUCACCAUAUGGCUACACCUGCCCUACACGGACGUUAUAAUGUAUUUUGGACCAAUAAUUUGUGUGCUUGGGACGUACAUCUGGAGAAAAGUGAAUCCGCUGAAGUCAGAGCUGUUGUCUCUGAAAAUUCUUUUAAUCCCCAAGUCAGCCUAAAAACAGCUAAUGUUGAGGUACAACUUCAUGAAAGCUUACGAUAAACUGAUGGGAGCAAAGCACUGCUUUGGCUAUUGGGCCUCUGAACCAGAAAGAUCUGAAGAAAACCUACUUCACAGUGUCGAAGAACUAUUAGUGUCCGAGGACUAUUUAAAUGGGUAAAUGGCCCAUCAAGAUAACAGUUUGUCGGUCAGUUUUUCACCAAAAGUGAAUCAGAUUAUUUUGCAUUAGGAAGUGCAAUUUUUUAUUGUAGAAUAUUUUUUUUGUUUUGAAAUAAAUUGUUCUUUAAA